GGGUAGACGACUAUCCCUUCGCAGCUGCUGGGACCCGGCGAAAGCUGUUUUUGUCUUCGGCGCAAGCCGAAGACCGUACCGACGAUGGCCAGAAGUAAAAUCGCAGCAGCCGCGCCGAUCGAAGGGUAGAGGAUCGAUCCUGCGACAUUUUUUUAGAAAUCCGCACUCCAUUAAAUUAUUAAAUAUUCACGAGACCUUUUUCCAGACGAUACAUGGGCGGGAGAUAUUUGUUCAGCCUGCGAAAAAUGCGUAGUAAAUAUCCAGCGAACCAGACUCGAAAAUACAUUGUACAAUCUCGCGUGACGGUAACACGAUUUAUUUGAAUGCGGUAUCGUAAUAUAUAAUGUGAUCAAAAAAUCAAACGAUCCGUCACAAUUACGUGGCUCAAGUGAUCGUGUAGAAAGUUGUAACUUUAUAUCGGCCUCUCCAGCAAUAUUCUUUCAUCAACUUUAUACCCCUGCAGAUUCUUCCACCGUGUGCCGCACGGCGCGGCCAAUGAGGUCGUAUUUUCCCCAGGGAAUUUUGUAACGCAACGCGAUGUGUCUACCGUGUGAUGUCACGCGGCUAUAAUAUUAUUAUCUGGGUACCGAAGAGUUUCCGAUUAAAUUAUCGUACUCCGCAACGAAUGAAUAUUAUGUCGAGAUAGAAGUCUUUGAGAAUUCACGUACAGCGGUCGUUGUAAUUGAUUGAAUGUAUAAUACAUCAUUACUGGGUAUUUCAGUUGCGAUAGCAGUUGAAAUUCCACUGCGAAGUGUCGUAUUCUCGCUUUUUCUCAUAAGAAAAAUCUGUAAUUGAACGAAGGUUAAGGAGAAAAAAAGAAAAAAGAAAAAAGAAAGAAAGAGCAAAAAAAUAUUAAGUAUUCUCGAUGAAAAGAAUUUUCAUUCAAUCUCUUGAACAUCUGUAUUUUUUUUUCCUUUUUGCGAUGGACGGAUAUUAUCUAAAGGGAUAUCGCGUUUCCUAUAAUCUUAUUUAUGUACAGAAACCUUCUGGGGAUGAAUUCAGAUGGUUGGAGUUAUAUAAAUGGCGCCUGUUCCAUCGUUUUACCCCGACGGAUUCAUAUCUCCUUCGGCCACGGGAGAUGGACAAAUAUAGCGGAGGAAUAUCACCGCGACUUUCACAUCAGUUCGGGAUAGAAAUACACUCGUCCCGUUUGUUCUCUCAAAGAAGCGAGACGCCGCCGUCGCAGUCGCGCUGUUUUCACGCCACAAUAUACGAGGCAUGAGACUACGUUGUGAAAUGCCGAAAUACGAGGAAAAGUGCUUCGUCUCUCUGCAUUUUCAUCGCGUCUCUCAUUCCAGCUGUACAUAAGGCCUCAACGUUCGCUUUGAAGUUUCAAGUGGAUAGGACACAGCUCUGUGUAGCGUAGGUCCCUUUUACUCUUGAUUUAACCGGCGAAUGACAUUCGACCCUCGAACAUGUAUACCAGACGUACGUACGAAUCGACGAAUGGCCUCACCGGCAUUGUACGUAAGUUUGACGAAAAUAUGUUUAUUAUUUUCUGAUCUCAAAACUAACAGUCGCCGAAACGGUUGCUCCGGGAACGAGGGAUACGUUCGCUGGAUUGAAAUUUUUCAGCUCUCCAAUGGUCGGAUUAUUAAUGGACUCCUUCUCCUCGGUAAUUCGUUUUCGAUUUAAUCUGAAAAUUAUUUUUGCGUGGGGCGGAUGGAAAAA